AUUCGGUCCCUGAAUUUAUCAAUUUGCAUCAAUUAGAUCCUCGUUACUUCAUUUUGACGCCUCACAUUGCGAAACUGCAUCAUUUAGGUCCCUCAUUUGGAUCCAAAAUGAUACAAAUUUUGCAAAGUGAUGAACCUAAAUGAUGUAUCGAAGACCAAAUUCAUGCAAUCGUGAAAAGUUAGAGACCAAAUUGCCUAUUUACUCAAAAAGAAAAAAAAUUGAGUGUACUAAAAAGAAAAGUGAAGCUACUGUUGGAUUGGUCCCCAUCUCUCUCUUCCAUGUCUCUUAGCCCAACAACCCUAAAACAACAGACCUAUUGCCAGCGCGUCCAGUUCUAUUAGGCGGGUCGAGCAUCGCCAACAUCUGGAUCAAAAAGCUAGGGUCCUCUUUUUUCUCCCGGUUAUCUUCGUUCAUGGUGGCCCUUCUCUUUCUUCUCCAUCUCUUCUCUUUUAUCCCCUUUCCUUUUCUCAGAUAGAUGCGGGUGGCCUUUUAAGGUCAUCACUCGGAGUUGCUGCUCUAGGUCACGUUAGGUGGAUCCUUAGUGCUGGUUGACCUCCGAUCCAGUCGCUGGUCUAGGCACUCCUUCACGUGGUCGAUCUUCGCUCAAUACAGUGAAGCUUCUGUCACAGCUGUGAGUCUCGCCGGUCACUGAUUUCGCCAGUCGUGGGUCUCGCCAGCAUCCCCCGAACCCUACCUUGCUUUCUAAUAUUCGCGAAUCGGCUAGGCUUAGUCACCUCGAUCCAGGCGCGGUUGAGCAUUGCCUCAGUCACUGUCCAAAUGGCAAUAGUGGCUGAUCUCAGCCUCGGUCCAGGUGGCGGCUCAAUCUCUCUACCAGCUCAUUAUCGACAACUAGUGGAGUUGACAGCUAUCUCUGACAUCUCUGCCCACAGAUUUUAGACGAAGACGGUAUUUGAUGGUGUCUCGGAGGGUCGCGCCUUCUCCUUCUCCGAGCAGACUUGUAGCAGAAAUUGAAGGCGACUUUCUACUCCUUGGUUGUCAUCAACUUCGACUAUCCAUUGCUCGCCUCAUAACCGACCUUUCGCCCCUUGACCAACAGCACUAGCGGCACAACGGCGACAUCCUCCAUCUCCCCAUAUGUCCGACUCUCUCCCUGCUCAAUGGCAGCUUUCAUUCUACGGAUACCCACCUUCGCCCCUGUCACUAAUCUCCACCCUCCAUCACAAAGGAUUGCACUUGAGCUUUGCGUCCAAAAUUAUUGAUUGGUUAUAUAAGUACACGAGCUCGCUCCAAGUGUGAAUUACAUUAAUAUUUUGAAUAAUAAAAUCAUAUUAAAAACAUAAAUGAUAUAAAAAAGCUAAGAUAUAUAUUCAAAAUGAAUACACAUUGGAGAAAUCCCUCCUCACUGUUUUUCCCUCAACUUCACUUUACUUUUUCCUCAAUUU